rnacentral:rRNA from 1 species
GAUGAACGCUAGCGGCAGGCUUAACACAUGCAAGUCGAGGGGUAUUGGUUUUCGGACCAAGAGACCGGCGCACGGGUGCGUAACGCGUAUGCAAUCUACCUUUUGCAGAGGGAUAGCCCAGAGAAAUUUGGAUUAAUACCUCAUAGUAUAGUAGUUUCGCAUGAAACGACUAUUAAAGUUCCAACGGCAAAAGAUGAGCAUGCGUCCCAUUAGCUAGUUGGUAAGGUAACGGCUUACCAAGGCAACGAUGGGUAGGGGUCCUGAGAGGGAGAUCCCCCACACUGGUACUGAGACACGGACCAGACUCCUACGGGAGGCAGCAGUGAGGAAUAUUGGACAACGGGCGCAAGCCUGAUCCAGCCAUGCCGCGUGCAGGAUGACGGUCCUAUGGAUUGUAAACUGCUUUUGUACAGGAAGAAACACUCCCUCGUGAGGGAGCUUGACGGUACUGUAAGAAUAAGGAUCGGCUAACUCCGUGCCAGCCGCCGCCGUAA